rnacentral:rRNA from 1 species
AACGAACGCUGGCGGCAUGCCUAACACAUGCAAGUCGAACGAGACCUUCGGGUCUAGUGGCGCACGGGUGCGUAACGCGUGGUAACCUGCCCUUAGGUUCGGAAUAACUCCCCGAAAGGGGUGCUAAUACCGGAUAAUGUCUUCGGACCAAAGAUUUAUCGCCUUUGGAUGGGCCCGCGUUGGAUUAGCUAGUUGGUAGGGUAAAAGCCUACCAUGGCGACGAUCCAGAGCUGGUCUGAGAGGAUGAUCAGCCACACUGGGACUGAGACACGGCCCAGACUCCUACGGGAGGCAGCAGUGGGGAAUAUUGGACAAUGGGCGAAAGCCUGAUCCAGCACUGCCGCGUGAGUGAUGAAGGCCUUAGGGUUGUAAAGCUCUUUUACCCGGGAUGAUAAUGACAGUAUCGGGAGAAUAAGCUCCGGCUAACUCCGU